rnacentral:snoRNA from 1 species
AUCCCAUAAUGAGGACCCUUAUGAAGUAACUCCUUGAAUCACUCCCAAGCCUCAUACAAAGACUCGUCAUCCAAUUGUUGGGAAGUUGUGAUCUCGCCCCUCAACUU